GGUUUAGUGGCAGAACAUCUAUUUUGCAUGCAGAGGGCCCUGGGUUCAAUCCCAGGCA
rnacentral:tRNA from 1 species